rnacentral:rRNA from 2 species
ACCGUGCAAAGGUAGCAUAAUCAUUAGUUUUUUAAUUGAAAGCUGGUAUGAACGGUUGGACGAGAAAAUAACUGUCUCAAUUUAAAUGUAUGUAGAAUUUUAUUUAUAAGUAAAAAAGCUUAUAUAAUUUUAAAAGACGAGAAGACCCUAUAGAGUUUUAUAAUUUUUUAUAUUAAUUAGGUUUAGUAUGUUUAUAUUUUUGAUAUAAAAAAUUAUUUUGCUGGGGCAGCAGAAAAAUUUAUUAAACUUUUUUUAAUUGUUUAACAUUGAUUUAUGAGUUAAUGAUCCAUUUUUUAUGAUUACAAGAUUAAAUUACCUUAGGGAUAACAGCGUAAUUUUUUUUUAGAGUUCUUAUCGAAAAAAGAGUUU